rnacentral:miRNA from 1 species
CAGCAGGACUGGCUUUGUUACGA